CAGCAGCCGCGGGAAAACGUAGGGUGCAAGCGUUAAUCGGAAUUACUGGGCGUAAAGCGUGCACAGGCGGUUAUAUAAGACAGAUGUGAAAUCCCCGGGCUCAACCUGGGAACUGCAUUUGUGACUGUAUAGCUAGAGUACGGCAGAGGGGGAUGGAAUUCCGCGUGUAGCAGUGAAAUGCGUAGAUAUGCGGAUGAACACCGAUGGCGAAGGCAAUCCCCUGGGCCUGUACUGACGCUCAUGCACGAAAGCGUGGGGAGCAAACAGGAUUAGAUACCCCAGUAGUCCCUGUCUCUUAUAA
rnacentral:rRNA from 1 species